UGGGGAAUAUUGGACAAUGGGCGAAAGCCUGAUCCAGCCAUGCCGCGUGUGUGAAGAAGGCCUUUUGGUUGUAAAGCACUUUAAGCGAGGAGGAGGCUACUUAGAUUAAUACUCUAGGAUAGUGGACGUUACUCGCAGAAUAAGCACCGGCUAACUCUGUGCCAGCAGCCGCGGUAAUACAGAGGGUGCGAGCGUUAAUCGGAUUUACUGGGCGUAAAGCGUGCGUAGGCGGCUUUUAAGUCGGAUGUGAAAUCCCUGAGCUUAACUUAGGAAUUGCAUUCGAUACUGGGAAGCUAGAGUAUGGGAGAGGAUGGUAGAAUUCCAGGUGUAGCGGUGAAAUGCGUAGAGAUCUGGAGGAAUACCGAUGGCGAAGGCAGCCAUCUGGCCUAAUACUGACGCUGAGGUACGAAAGCAUGGGGAGCAAACAGGAUUAGAUACCCUGGUAGUCCAUGCCGUAAACGAUGUCUACUAGCCGUU
rnacentral:rRNA from 1 species